GACGAACGCUGGCGGCGUGCCUAAUACAUGCAAGUCGAACGCUUCUUUCCUCCCGAGUGCUUGCACUCAAUUGGAAAGAGGAGUGGCGGACGGGUGAGUAACACGUGGGUAACCUACCCAUCAGAGGGGGAUAACACUUGGAAACAGGUGCUAAUACCGCAUAACAGUUUAUGCCGCAUGGCAUAAGAGUGAAAGGCGCUUUCGGGUGUCGCUGAUGGAUGGACCCGCGGUGCAUUAGCUAGUUGGUGAGGUAACGGCUCACCAAGGCCACGAUGCAUAGCCGACCUGAGAGGGUGAUCGGCCACACUGGGACUGAGACACGGCCCAGACUCCUACGGGAGGCAGCAGUAGGGAAUCUUCGGCAAUGGACGAAAGUCUGACCGAGCAACGCCGCGUGAGUGAAGAAGGUUUUCGGAUCGUAAAACUCUGUUGUUAGAGAAGAACAAGGACGUUAGUAACUGAACGUCCCCUGACGGUAUCUAACCAGAAAGCCACGGCUAACUACG
rnacentral:rRNA from 1 species